ACAGGAAGAGCACGGAUAGGAUAGGAUUUGAAGGGAACCUCAUUCUAUCCUCUUCCCUGAUGUCUGUAACAUAGGGGAAGAAAUACAGUGUAGACAAAUAUGAAUUCCUUAGAGAUCUGAAAUGCGACCAGAGGACUUCCACUUAAAAAUGUAGGCUGAGGAUUCCACAUGCAACUCUCAAAAGAAAAAUGAACCUAAAUACCUUGUGCUGCUGUAGUUGCUUAGAAAAAAAACUGGAUUGUUCAAUGCUGUCUGUAUAGUUCUUCACUGGAUUUUUUCAGUCAUGCCUGGAUAAAAUGGCCCCAGGAUUUACCAUAAAUUCAUAGAUAUUUAAGGCUAGAAAGGAUUAUGAGAAAUCAUCAAACCCAAUCCACUUAUGGCAGGAACAGACCUAAUGAUGUUGGAGCAAUAAAAACAAUGCAGUGAAAAUGAAAUGGAAAUGAGUAACAAGGAUAUAUUAAGGAAGAGAUCUAAGAGAAUGCUACAAAUGAAGAGACGAGAAACACGUUCUCUUAACAUUCUGUCUGCAAUUUAAGUUUUUAUUGGUGCUCAUCAUCAUCAUCAUGUCUGAGCCUCUGUAUAGGAACAAAUUUGUCCUCAGAAGCACACCUGCAGCCUGUUUACAAAUAGGGAACUGAGGUACGGUAUGAUUAAGGGCCUGAUAUAGAAGAGUAUGUAUAUUCCUAAUGGGAUUUUCAAAACAACCAGGUGCAUACAAUUCAUUAAUAUCAAUGGGUGCUAGGUUCCUACGUGCAUUACAAAAUUCCACAAGGCAUUUAAAUACCUUAUAAACCUGGCCCCUAGUGACUUGUCCAGGAUCUCAUAGGAAAUCUGAAUCAGAACCAGGAAAAAGAUCCAAUCUUCUAAAUCCAAAGCCUCAACUUCAGUAGCGUCUUCCUUCUCUGCUUUUAUUAUGUAUUACUUGUGGGGAGGGGAGGGGCUGACAUUCUUGCCGGGCCUCUGGGCAAGGUGCUGGGUAGGCCAGCUCCAUGUUCCCAGAAGGGCCAGGGCCCUGGGCAGAAGGAGCAGGGCUGAGUGCGGAUAGCCCUCAGAGCGCUACAUGGACCAUGCUACUUGGCGCUCCAGCAGCAAGUCUGGUCCUGUUUCCCACUUUAAUGAUCUUGGGAAUCUUAACAGCUGGCUGUCAGGCCUGAUAGUGCUGUUGUUGAAUGCCAGGUUGGCAUCCACAAGACUGCUUUCAUCCAGGAUUUAAUCCUGCAUGAAGGGGUUAACCUGACCUGUAUCACUGACUCCUGGC